GAGAAAACGUUAGUUAUACACGAUUCUAUUCGCUAAUAUAAAUCACGUGACGUAGAAAAGAGCCAUUUAGGGAUAGUUUUAUAAAAUAUCUUUGAGUAUUAUCGAGUAGUUGGCCCAAUUACGGAAUGGCUGUCGUUGGUUAUUAAUUUACUGAGAGCCAUUUUGGUUUUAUGUCAUUCGAUAGAUGAGGAAUAUAAGCAAUAAUGGAAGAUAAGACAGUUUUGAAGGAACUCGAUUCGUGGAUAGAACAACUCAACGAAUGUAAACAAUUGACUGAAAAUCAAGUUAAAACCCUAUGCGAUAAGGUAAA